rnacentral:rRNA from 2 species
UUUUAUGGAGAGUUUGAUCCUGGCUCAGGAUGAACGCUGGCGGCGUGCCUAAUACAUGCAAGUCGAGCGAACGGACGAGAAGCUUGCUUCUCUGAUGUUAGCGGCGGACGGGUGAGUAACACGUGGAUAACCUACCUAUAAGACUGGGAUAACUUCGGGAAACCGGAGCUAAUACCGGAUAAUAUUUUGAACCGCAUGGUUCAAAAGUGAAAGACGGUCUUGCUGUCACUUAUAGAUGGAUCCGCGCUGCAUUAGCUAGUUGGUAAGGUAACGGCUUA